UUUCUCUUUGCAAUUCAUUUCUUACAGUUAAGGAUAAAGUUAAGAAAUUUGAGGAAAAGCAACUGGCAGAAAAAAACAAAGAUGGACCUCGUGUGGUCACAAGAAAUCCUUCUUUUUUAAACGAUAAAGGACAACUGGAUAAGAAAGUCAAGAGUGGUCAAUUGGAAGAACAUACCGAGGCCACACAGCCUGAUCUGCAAACACAGAUUCCUUCUAAAGGACCAGAGUCAGAGAAAAUGGAGGAUGAAGAAGCAAAGUUUGCUGAUGAAAGUUCGA